GUGGGGAAUAUUGGACAAUGGGCGCAAGCCUGAUCCAGCCAUGCCGCGUGAGUGAUGAAGGCCCUAGGGUUGUAAAGCUCUUUCACCGGUGAAGAUAAUGACGGUAACCGGAGAAGAAGCCCCGGCUAACUUCGUGCCAGCAGCCGCGGUAAUACGAAGGGGGCUAGCGUUGUUCGGAAUUACUGGGCGUAAAGCGCACGUAGGCGGACAUUUAAGUCAGGGGUGAAAUCCCAGAGCUCAACUCUGGAACUGCCUUUGAUGCUGGGUGUCUUGAGUAUGGAAGAGGUAAGUGGAAUUCCGAGUGUAGAGGUGAAAUUCGUAGAUAUUCGGAGGAACACCAGUGGCGAAGGCGGCUUACUGGUCCAUUACUGACGCUGAGGUGCGAAAGCGUGGGGAGCAAACAGGAUUAGAUACCCCAGUAGUCC
rnacentral:rRNA from 1 species